AUUGAACGCUGGCGGCAGGCCUAACACAUGCAAGUCGAACGGUAACAGGAAGCAGCUUGCUGCUUCGCUGACGAGUGGCGGACGGGUGAGUAAUGUCUGGGAAGCUGCCUAAUGGAGGGGGAUAACUACUGGAAACGGUAGCUAAUACCGCAUAAUGUCGCAAGCCCAAAGAGGGGGACCUUCGGGCCUCUUGCCAUCGGAUGUGCCCGGAUGGGAUUAGCUUGUUGGUGGGGUAACGGCUCACCAAGGCGACGAUCCCUAGCUGGUCUGAGAGGAUGACCGGCCACACUGGGACUGAGACACGGUCCAGACUCCUACGGGAGGCAGCAGUGGGGAAUAUUGCACAAUGGGCGCAAGCCUGAUGCAGCGAUGCCGCGUGUAUGAAGAAGGCGUUCGGGUUGUAAAGUACUUUCAGCGGGGAGGAAGGGAGUAAAGUUAAUACCUUGGCUCAUUGACGUUACCGGCAGAAGAAGCACCGGCUAACUCCGUG
rnacentral:rRNA from 1 species